rnacentral:lncRNA from 1 species
CCACCUGCGCGCCCCAAUCGUGCCCGACCACGAACACCUUUUGGAGGCGGAGGUGGUCGAGGAGCGCGACCAAGUCGCCGACAAUGUGGAAGAUGGAGUAGGCGGCUGGAUCGGCGGGGACGGAGGAGUCGCCGUAGCCGCGGAGGUCGGGGGCCAGCGCGCGGAAGCCACGGGCGGCGAGCGCGGCCAUCUGGUGACGCCAUGAGAGCCACAUCUCCGGGAAGCCGUGGACGAGGAGGACCGCCGGCCCGGUGGAGGGGCCGCUCUCGGCAACGUGGAGGGAGAUGCCGUUGAUGUCCGCGGUCCAUUGCCGCACCUCGCCGGUGGCUUCGGCCGCCAUGCUUGCGCUGCUCGAGUCGCUAGCGGCUCAAUCAGUCCGACAGAAACAUGCGGCCACUGAGUCACUGACAUAAACACAAAUGAUUAUCUGAACCUCCUGGAUCACACAUUUCACAUGUAGCUUUCAAGUCAGUGCCCAAGUUGACUGGCGCACUAAGGGGCUACUAGUUUGGAGCAGAUGGAUUAGAGAAUGUGCAUAACCUGAAAUAACACCAGGCAGCUAAAAUACAGAAAAAUCAAGCACCAAGUCCAAGUGGUACUUCACAUGGUUUCUAGAAAAAACAAACAAAACUCUUUUAUUCCUGUAUGCGAGCCAACAGAUGGCUUAGCAAUCACGGAUGCGUUUGGUUCACCUGGCUUAUUUUUAGUCCAUGUCACAUCCAAAAUUCAAAAUAAUAUGAGUUAAUUAUAAAACUAAUGGUACAGAUGGAGACUAAACGACAAAACAAAUUUAUUAAGCCUAAUUAAUCCAUCAUUAGCAAAUGUUUACUGUAGCAACACAUUGUCAAAUCAUAGACUAAUUAGGUUUAAUAGAUUCGUCUCGCAGUUUAGCCUCCACUUAUGUAAUAGAUUUUAUAAAUAAUCUACGUUUAAUACUUCUAAUUACUAUCUAAACAUUCGAUGUGACGAGUGCUGAAAAUAAGUCAAAGUAACCAAACGGGGCUUUAUUCAGUUAUUCUACGUUUCAGUUCAGGAAAAACUGGCUAACAGUCUCCCAAAGAUUUGUUGGUUUUCCCAUACACGACACGACUGCAGAGUAACAUCAUGCUGAUGAAGCCUCUAGCCUCUCUACUCGCUGGCAAACUUGUUCAGGUAGGAAAGUAUCUCAGAGUUCACUCUCUCGGCCUGCUCUUGCUGCAGGAAAUGGUGACCGUCGAUGAUGGCAACAUCAAGAUCUGGAACAUUGGACUUCAACCCCCCACUCUUGAUGUACUGCUCAAUUCCAAAGGACUUGGCACCGAUGUCCUUAUCGCCGGCGAUGAACUUGGCAGGCACAGUAAUUUUCGCACCGCUCCAUGGUGCAGUAAGCCUCCAGUUCCUGCAUUCACCACGCAUUACUAUUCAGAUGGGUGCAGCUGAAUGAAAUACCAGGAAGGCAGACAGAGUUUGAGGAAACUACACUACAUACAUGUCCAUCAUGCGGUAGUAGUUGAGGGGCCCUGUGAACCCAGACUUCUGAAACUUUUCGGCAUACUGGCUCAGCUCUUCCUCGGUGAUCCAGGGGAGUGGCGAGGAAGGUGCCUCGAGGAAGUCGAUGAUCUCUACUCCAGGAGGAGCAGUGAGGUUGUCGAAUUCAAUGGAGUAGAACUUCUUUAGCACGGUCGCAACGUCGUAACGAGCAAAUGCCCUUUCAGCUCUUCCAGGCUCCUGCAGACAUGAAAUUCUCGCAUGAGUGGCCUGCAAGAAGUUAAGUUGUAGCCUAGUGCCCACCAGGUACCCUGUCCUGAAAUUGCGAGUUUGAAGCAAAACAGAUGAGGCAGGCAAAGGAAGAUGAAGAUACCACCUGGAACUGCGUGAUGUAGAAGCCAUCACCGAGAUCCGCGAACGUCUCAGAAAUCGAGCGAGGGCUGCGGGGGAAGAAGGGAAUCCCGAUGGUGACGACGGCGCGCACCCGGUCCGACCGGAACAGGCAGAGGUGCCACGCCACCUGCGCGCCCCAGUCGUGCCCAACCACGAACACCUGCGCCGCCGCCCAAUAAAUCCAUCCAUGACGAGCACCAACAAGGGAGAGCUCAAUCAAGAUCACGAAUUCACGAUGCGUGAGGUGACUCAGGUGAGUAACCAACAGCAGCANNNNNNNNNNNNNNNNNNNNNNNNNNNNNNNNNNNNNNNNNNNNNNNNNNNNNNNNNNNNNNNNNNNNNNNNNNNNNNNNNNNNNNNNNNNNNNNNNNNNCGUCGCCGACGAUGUGGAGAUGGAGUAGGCGGCGGGGUCGGCGGGGACGGAGGAGUCGCCGUAGCCGCGGAGGUCGGGGGCGACGGCGCGGAAGCCGCGGGCGGCGAGCGCGGCCAUCUGGUGGCGCCAGGAGAGCCAGAGCUCCGGGAAGCCAUGGAGGAGGAGCACCACCGUCCCAUCCGCGGGCCCCUGCUCGGCGACGUGGAUGGAGACGCCGUUGACGUCCGCGUUCCAGUGCCGCACCUCGACCGCGCCGCCGCCGUCCAUGCUUGGCUCGCCGCUCUUGCUUCCUCUGGUUGGCUGCUACGUCGGUCACGGGUCAGUCAAUAUGCUCUCGCUAUCCACGUUGUAGAAAAAGAAUGGCCAAAGAUUUUAAAUCUUGUACCAAACAAAUAAUAAUUAUUUAAAUUAUCUUGUGAAUUUUCUUUUGCAUAUCAUGACAUCCUUUUCAACAAGUCAGCUCUAGCGUUGGUAUCGAUUUGGAUCUAAGCUUCAAGUCAUCGAGUGCAAUUAAAUUAACAUUUUUAGAGACGUGGGAGCUUUCCUUUUGGAUUAAGGUGACAAGCUGAUUAGGUGAGCAUGAAAAUAUUUUUAUACAAUAUAGAUAGCAUAGAGAUAGCUGGGAACAUACAAAUUUACAAACAGUUGGAAUUGUUGAUGCUACCAAACAGAGAAUCUGGAGACGACUUACAAAAUGAUCCUGUUGUAUGAUCAUUGGCUUAUCCAUCGACUUCAGAUUCCCAGCUGAAGCACUAUUUUUCUUUUUCCUCCAGAAGCAAUCUACGAGCCAGAAUAAUUUCAUUUACGCGUUGAAAUACAGGGCAGGCCUCAACGACGACCGCAGCCAGCAACGGAUUCUUGCAACGAAAAAUGGAACUAGCAUUG